UUGUUUAAUAUAAUCAACUUUUCCUAAUAGUAAUCUCUUAAGAUGGUAUAUAUAUUACGUGAAAGACCAGUAGAGUAAUUCUCUCAGACUUUCUCUUUUCCUAAUUUAGCAGAAAAGUCUAAGAGAAAGAAAGAGAAGAGAACUGCAAAUGUGUGCUAAAAUGCUAGCUGCCAAUCCAUUUUUAGAUCUUGAGAGUGCUCUAACAAAGCGAGUAAGAUUCAAAUAAGCAAGAACCAAAAGAUAUGCCCAUUUGACUAUUUUUACUAAAUUUAGAAUUGCAUACAAGGUUUAGCAUCUCUAAAUGAAGACGUAAGAACAACAAAAAUGUCUAUAGAUCCAAUAGAAAGCUGUAAAGAAUGAUGAGAAUACUACUCAUAUCCUCGAUCGAGAGUAUAAGAAAUACCAAGAUUUUCAAUAGAAUGCAGAAAAACAAGGAGUUGAUGUUAACAAUGAAAGAGCACAAACUAAGGUAUAUUGGUUAUAUAAUGAGAGAGAAGAAUUUAAGGGAAAAGGUCAAUAGAGAGAACUCGUGGCUCGGUAAAACAUCAUCCGAAAUCUUCAGAGAAAUUGUUUCAUACGUAAUUAUUGCCAGUUGGAUCGCCAACCUUCGAAGAGAGAUGGCGCAAUGAGGCCGGAAUAAAUCUUAGCCUGUUCCUUGGUGUGCUUAGAUCAAAUGUAAAGGAAAGAAAAAAAUCUCUAAAAGAACAAAUAGUAUUUGCCUAAGGUGCUGCAUAACUGCUUGCAUUAUCCAAAAGUAAAGCCCAUACUAAAAGUCAUAUUUAAUUAGGAAGUAAGCCGAUCUACCAAUUGCCCCCCAAUCCGAAGCCCUUUAGUACCCACUCAAAACAACCUGUAGUUUAGGAACUGUAGAAGAACUUAAGAGGGGGUUAAAGAGACAACUUAUACACAUUCAAUUUUAAAUCAUAUAAUUAAACCAUUUCAAAAAAACUACAGUUCCUGAAUUGUGCGAAAAGCGUUUUCCUGGUGUUCUUUAGACUCUUAACACAUUACUCAAAAUAGUUAAAUGCCACUUGGAUUCGUCAGAAUCACUCCAUUAUUUUCUAUCUCGAUUAAUGUAUUCUUCUAAUGUUCAGGGCUCCUUCUUCUUCAAGUACCAUGUUCUCUUCGAACGUCGGCUAUCAUCAGCGCUAUUUGCACCUUAUCCACUGCUUUUCUGAAAAGCGCCAUUGUACUAACAUUAAACAAUUGCCUGAGAUUUUUGAGCCAUGAAGUACGCCUGCGACCUGGGCCUCUAUUUCCUUUGAUUUUGCCUUCUUAUAUAAGCUUUAAAAGUUUAUAUUUUUCGUUUCUC